UCUUGUUCUUGGUAAGUUUUGCUUUAUAAAUAAUUCCUGUAUGAUUCAUGAACUGAUUUUAAAUUAUGCAGAUUACAAAGAUGGGGUAACCCCAAACAAAAAGUAUCGGAAAAAAAACCACCUCUCCAUUAUCAAACAAUGGAUGCCAUAAACAACCAGAAGAGAAACUUGAUGGUCGAACAACAUCUGAUGUGAACAGUGCUGAAGUCACUCUUGCUGGAGAGAAUGGUCUGGAACACACAACCCAAGGAACAAGAGGUGAAAAUUUUAAAAAACUAAAGCUAAACCUGUAUCAAGGAAAAUGCUAAUUUCAGAUCCCGUUUCUGCCUAAGACUGUUAUCUGGUAAAGGUAAUAUGUGUUACUUGUGUGAACAUCUCGAAAAGAUUCACUUGGACAUUGGAGUAUAUGUCAAGGCAAACAGUAAUUGAAAGAAUGUCCGCAAGAAAGAAGAAAAUUUAAAUGAAAUCAAAAGUGCUGAAACAAAAAAUUCAACGGAAAGAACUUGUUGUCAAGAAUCUUCGACUAGCAAUUAAAAAUGUCAGGAAAAAUGUCACUGCUGCUUGCGAAAAGGCAAUAAGUAAUCAGUUUCUUGGGCUUAACGACCAGGUAUAUCAUGCUCCCAAUUACUAUUCCCCUCUAUGACGAGUACGUUUGUUAGAUUCCAAAAUUUUAACUAUUUUUCUACCAAUGACCAAUAAUAACGACAACACUACUUAUUUUUUUAAAUUUCUUUGAUUGAAAUCAAUAAAUUGUAAUUGAUUUUACGUUAUUACAAA